UACAGAGGUCUCAAGCGUUGUUCGGAUUCAUUGGGCGUAAAGGGUGCGUAGGCGGCGCGGUAAGUCGGGUGUGAAAUCUCGGAGCUUAACUCCGAAACUGCAUUCGAUACUGCCGUGCUUGAGGACUGGAGAGGAGACUGGAAUUUACGGUGUAGCGGUGAAAUGCGUAGAUAUCGUAAGGAAGACCAGUGGCGAAGGCGGGUCUCUGGACAGUUCCUGACGCUGAGGCACGAAGGCCAGGGGAGCAAACGAG
rnacentral:rRNA from 1 species